rnacentral:rRNA from 1 species
CACGUAGGAGGCGAACGUUAUCCGGAUUUACUGGGCGUAAAGCGCGUGUAGGUGGUUUGGUAAGUAGGGCGUGAAAGCUCCUGGCUCAACUGGGAGAGGCCGUUCUAAACUGCCGAACUAGAGGAUGGUAGAGGGAGGUGGAAUUCCGGGUGUAGCGGUGGAAUGCGCAGAUAUCCGGAGGAACACCAGUGGCGAAAGCGGCCUCCUGGACCAUUCCUGACACUCAGACGCGAAAGCUAGGGUAGCAAACGGGAUUAGAAACCCCUAGUCC